AUUGAACGCUGGCGGCAGGCAUAACACAUGCAAGUCGAGCGAGAGGCGGACGGGUGAGUAAUGUAUGUGAAUCUAGCUUAUGGCGGGGGAUAAAUACGGGAAACUGUAGCUAAUAACGCAUAUCCUAGGCUGAGCUCUAGGGGGAUUGGGCAGUUGGUGAGGUAAAGGAUCACCAAGCCGACGAACUCUAGCUGGUCUGAGAGGAUGACCAGCCACACUGGGACUGAGACACGGCCCAGACUCCGACGGGAGGCAGCAGUGGGGAAUAUUGCGCAAUGGGGGCAACCUGACGCAGCCAUGCCGCGUGAAUGAAGAAGGCCUUCGGGUUGUAAAGUUCUUUCGGUAGCGAGGCGUUAACUACAGAAGAAGCACCGGCUAACUCCGUGCCAGCAGCCGCGGUAAUAC
rnacentral:rRNA from 1 species